UACGAAGGGGGCUAGCGUUGCUCGGAAUCACUGGGCGUAAAGGGUGCGUAGGCGGGUCUUUAAGUCAGGGGUGAAAGCCCGGGGCUCAACCCCGGAAUUGCCUUUAAGACUGCAUCGCUUGAAUCCGGGAGAGGUGAGUGGAAUUCCGAGUGUAGAGGUGAAAUUCGUAGAUAUUCGGAAGAACACCAGUGGCGAAGGCGGCUCACUGGACCGGUAUUGACGCUGAGGUGCGAAAGCGUGGGGAGCAAACAGG
rnacentral:rRNA from 1 species